rnacentral:sRNA from 1 species
UGAUGACCAGAACAACAGAUACUGGAAC